UGUGCGCGGAGUAAAAUAUUUUAACAGUCGCUGCAGUAAUUUCCUACUUAAAGCAUCAGGCUAUAUCGCUCAUCUUCUAAACGAUUCACAAAAAUCAUGAAAACUGCGACGUUUUCUCUCUUCUUACUUCUUUCCGCUGUCAUUUGCAUCGAGAUAAGUGCUUACUGCGAUCCAAGCCAAUGUAAGCCUUGGUGUCUGAAAGCAUUUUUCGCAGGUGAUUGCACCAGUGAGGGUGCUUGCAACUGUGAUGUAUAGCUUCGCAGUAAGAAUUAUGAGGUAUCACUCUAAAUACUCCAGCAGCAGAUAAUUUCAUAAAAUUUAAACUACAUACCAUAAUGUACGCGUAUACACACUGUGAGCAUCAAAACAUUUUCAAUAAAAUACGUUGAAGCGUUCGUUAUCGCGA